rnacentral:rRNA from 1 species
AAUAAACGCUGGCGGCAUGCCUAACACAUGCAAGUCGUACGAGAGAAGAGGAGCUUGCUCCUCGGAUCUAGUGGCAGACGGGUGAGUAACGCGUGGGCAAUCUACCUCUGAGUAGGGGAUACCUUUUCGAAAGGAAAGUUAAUACCGUAUAAGACCACGACAUCUUAGGGUGAAGAGGUCAAAGCCGGGGAUCUUCGGACCUGGUGCUUGGAGAGGAGCUCGCGUCGGAUUAGCUAGUUGGUGGGGUAACGGCCUACCAAGGCAACGAUCCGUAGCCGGCCUGAGAGGGUGAUCGGCCACACUGGAACUGAGACACGGUCCAG